GCAUAUCAAUAAGCGGAGGAAAAGAAACUAACAAGGAUUCCCCUAGUAACUGCGAGUGAAGCGGGAAAAGCUCAAAUUUAAAAUCUGGCGGUCUUUGGCCGUCCGAGUUGUAAUCUAGAGAAGUGUUAUCCGCGCUGGACCGUGUACAAGUCUCCUGGAAUGGAGCGUCAUAGAGGGUGAGAAUCCCGUCUUUGACACGGACUGCCAGGGCUUUGUGAUGCGCUCUCAAAGAGUCGAGUUGUUUGGGAAUGCAGCUCAAAAUGGGUGGUAAAUUCCAUCUAAAGCUAAAUAUUGGCGAGAGACCGAUAGCGAACAAGUACCGUGAGGGAAAGAUGAAAAGAACUUUGGAAAGAGAGUUAAACAGUACGUGAAAUUGCUGAAAGGGAAACGCUUGAAGUCAGUCGCGUUGGCCGGGGAUCAACCUUGCUUUUGCUGGGCGUACUUUCCGGUCGACGGGUCAGCAUCAAUUUUGACCGGUGGAUAAAGGCUGAGGGAAUGUGGCUCCUUCGGGAGUGUUAUAGCCCUCUGUCGCAUACAUCGAUUGGGAUUGAGGAACUCAGCACGCCGAAAGGCCGGGUACUUGUACCACGUUCGUGCUUAGGAUGCUGGCAUAAUGGCUUUAAUCGACCCGUCUUGAAACACGGACCAAGGAGUCUAACAUGCCUGCGAGUGUUUGGGUGGAAAACCCGAGCGCGUAAUGAAAGUGAAAGUUGAGAUCCCUGUCGCGGGGAGCAUCGACGCCCGGACCAGACCUUUUGUGACGGAUCCGCGGUAGAGCAUGUAUGUUGGGACCCGAAAGAUGGUGAACUAUGCCUGAAUAGGGUGAAGCCAGAGGAAACUCUGGUGGAGGCUCGUAGCGAUUCUGACGUGCAAAUCGAUCGUCAAAUUUGGGUAUAGGGGCGAAAGAAUAUCCCCAACCAUCUAGUAGCUGGUUCCUGCC
rnacentral:rRNA from 1 species